rnacentral:rRNA from 1 species
GAAAUUCCUGUACCACCGUAAUCCGCUAUGAGCGAUGGGGUGACGCAGUAGGGUAGUGACGCGGACUGAUGGAUGUCCGUCUAAGCAGUGAGGCUGAUGUGUAGGCAAAUCCGCACAUCGUGAAGGCUGGGCUGUGAUGGGGAGCGAAAAUUACAGUAGCGAAGGUCAUGAUCUCAGACUGCCAAGAAAAGCCUCUAGCCAGGAGAAGGUGCCCGUACCGCAAACCGACACAGGUAGGCGAGAAGAGAA